AAGUGGAUUGCACCAGAAGUAGAUAGUCUAACCUUAAGGAGGGCCGUUUACCACGGUGUGCUUCAUGACUGGGGUGAAAGUCGGUAACAAGGUACCCGUAAGGGAACCUGUGGCUUGGAUCACCUCCUU
rnacentral:rRNA from 1 species